rnacentral:siRNA from 1 species
UGUCUCUUUUCUAAUUUUUGGGC